ensembl:lncRNA
CUCUGCCAUCCACCUGCAGGAUGUGCUCCAGCUCAUCUUGGUGGCCUUCUGAACUCAGCCCAGUUUAUCAACAUUUCACAUGCACUGGGGAUCCAAACCUGGACACUGCAUCCCAGCCAAGUUUUAAUGUGUGUGCGGAAUAACCACAGUGCCUCAUCUGUGGGCUGUUCUCCUCUUCUACAGUCCUCAUCUCUUCAGUUGCCAGGAUUUGCUAUGAGAGCCUCAGCAAGCAACUAGAAAAGCUCCAGGCUAGAACAACUUCCAACAGCAAAAUGCAGUUGCAUUUCUCAAACCCAGACCAAGUGUCAAAUAAUAAUAAUGAAAAGUGAUGCCAUUUGACUGAAAAGUACAUGCCCUAAUUACUACAAAUUCUGGUGAUGAAUUCCCUUGCUAGAGAAACCAUGCCGUGAAAGGCUGGGUAUCCUGGGGACAGUCACACUUAAGCAAUACAUUUCUUCUUUGAUACAUUCUGUUCUUUGAGAUUGCUGAGUUGAACUCUGAGUUGAUAGAGGUCCUGGGACUGCAGCAGUUCUUCAUGGAGUGGAGGCCAUCUGCAUAUCAGCUUCCUGCCCAGCACAUUGGGGUUGUAAUUUUUGUGAAGAGGAAGGGCUGCUGCACCAUCAUAAUGGACUCCAAGCAGGGACCUGUCCGUGGACAUUCAUAUAUAGGCUGUGUAAGGGCCAAAUCCACAACAGAUAUAGAUCAGACAAGCAGCCACUAGAGCUUGGACCAGUUUGUCCCAGUUGAAGAUCUUUGGGGGAUCCAGGGUCUCCAUAUCUGGGUUAUACAGGUCCUCGCAGUUCCUGACACAAGAAUGUUCUCCCAGUCCUUUCUUGCACAAACCAGGUGAAUUACCCUUUGUUUUUCCAAGCAAUCCCUCUCCACCAACCCUCCCUCCGAUGCCACAAGCUAUUUAUAAGGCAAGCUGGGAACUGUACAGAACACCGUGACUCUCAUCACGGCGUGCCUCACAUGCUGUGCCUCUUGGAGCCUUCUCCCGAAGCAGCCAGUAAGUGUGCAUGGUCUUUUCUUGAUUUCCCCCCUUUCCUCUUUUCUUCCUCUGCUCCUGUUUUCAAUCAUGGGCUGCCUGGGCAGCGUGGUGGUCAGGCUUAGAGACUCGCUAGAACUGGAUUCAAGAUUUAUGAGAACUAGAUGUAACCAGGCCUCUCCCAGAGGUUUGGGAAGAACAGCUGGAGUCUGGCACUUUCCAUCAUGACAAGGACUAUUAAAAACUAAGAGUUGAACUGAAAAAGCCAGGGGGGGAAAAAUGUUUAGGCUUAAAAUGCAAAACAAGCGCCUGUAAUAUCCAGGCCGUCUGCGCAGGGGCCAAUUCUGACAGCAAACGGCUUUCACAGCUGCUGCGAGCUGGGCUUAUUUUAGAAACCACUUUAGAAACAAGAGGUUAAAAGCAAGGAGGGAGGGCGGGCGGGCGGAUUUCGGCGUGAGGGCUAUGUGUGUGUGCGAUCUCUCCGCUCAAAGCCCUGACUUGAGCGGAGCGGGUCACAUCCUGCGCUGUCUGGAGGCCAUUUCGGCCGGGCCACCCCACCCAGCACUGAUGUAAUGCGCCCCGGCCGGCUGUGUUUGUCGAGAUCGCUAAGGCGUGCGUGCGUCCGGCCCUCCGAGCCAGGAUGGCAAGGCUGCUCUGUGACGAGGAGGGAGGGGACGCCGACGAGGCAGUGAAAUUGGAAGUCUCCCACACUCCUCGACACUCCCACCCCAUCUUCGUCCUCCGUGCACUCCAUCAUCGUGGGGCCAUCGCAGCAUCCCACCUGCACUGUGCUUGAGGACAGCCCGAGGGGUGCUGGGGUUGGGAGGCUCAUGGGCCUCCUACUGCUGUCACCAGGCUUGCCACCAGGAGUGGGAUGGGGGGCCUGGGAGGGAAACCAGGCCUAGAAAACUGUGAGGAACCACUGGCACGAAGUCUACUGGCCAGGUGGCUUCUGCCGUCACCAGUGGAGAAGUAGGAGAUGUAUCAGCACAGCCAGCUUGGUUAUAUUCAUUUUUCCUAACCAGCACAGAGCAGAGGACCAUUCCAGACCUGAAUCAUCCAUUGACUGAGGUUUCAAUGUCAAGUCAGAAAGGCUCCCACACUCCUGACUCCUGCAUCUCACAGUUUUAUAGGAUGAAUCCAUACUAGUGUGCUAGCAAACAAAUAAAACAUUUUGGAUUUGCCUGCA